CCCUUAGAUGUUCUGGGCCGCACGCGCGCUACACUGACGAAUGCAACGAGCUUAUAACCUUGGCCGAAAGGUCUGGGUAAUCUCCAAAUUUCGUCGUGAUGGGGAUAGAUUAUUGCAAUUAUUAAUCUUCAACGAGGAGUGCCUAGUAAGCGCAAGUCAUAAGCUUGCGCUGACUACGUCCCUGCCCUUUGUACACACCGCCCGUCGCUACUACCGAUUGAAUGAUUUAGUGAGGACUUCGGACUGGGACCGAUGCGGCUUUCGGGCUGCGUCGGUAUUCUGGAAAGAUGUCCAAACUGUAUCAUUUAGAGGAAGUAAAANUCGUANCA
rnacentral:rRNA from 1 species